GUCUUCGUGGUGUAGUGGUUAGCAUGCUCGACGCGUAACCGAGAGGUCCGUGGUUCGAUUCCCGGCGAAGGCG
rnacentral:tRNA from 1 species